UAGGCGGCAGUGCUAGAUAAAACAGAAUCACAUUGUAGAUGCUCGCCAGCCCAUCACCACAAAGUGUUAGAUGCAAGAACCAUAGGUUCAUGGCUCUUAAGCUAAUGCCAUCAUAAUGCUCUACAUAUUAGGUUGACAUGACAUUUUAGCGUUUUAACAUAGCUCAGUCUCCAACAGGUAAUGACAUGCCAGCAAACAGCUAGGAUCCUGAAUUUUCUUUUUGUGAAAUAUAUUUUCCAACCGAUCAUUAACCCCAUAAUGGGCAAUUAUGAUUUCAAAUGAAGGCAUCUAGAUACCUUUGGUUUUGCAAUAUUAAAAGGUCCAAGAUUGGUAAUGCUUAAUUGCACACUUCCCAUGGUGGCAUGUAUAUAUUUGUGAAUAGGGGAGAGUAACAUGCUGCACUCAAGGCUCUCAGUCCCACAUCUGCAUGAACUUGGCAAAACAUGCAUCGCCUCUUGGAAAGGAGCUGAGACCACAGAGAUAACUAAACUAGGAGCAUUAGCAUGUGUCCCCUUAUCUUGAGUUAUCUUGUAUUCAAUUCCAUGGGAUACCAACUCAUUCAUGUGCAUGGAGAAACCAAACCUGCAUUAUCAAAAGAUUGGGCAGGUGAGCUGCAUCAUUGAGUUAAGGAAAAAGGACCUGCAGCGUGGCUCCCUAGUCCCUCCCUAUUCAUGGUCAUGUUUAAAUAUGAUACACUUGGUCAAAUUUCACAAGUGCAUGCACUACACCAAUGUGUUCGGCAUAUGACUGAUAAUAUUCUAGUUACCCAGCCACUCCUUGACAAACACACGAUAAAAUCAAGUUGCAACUUGCAGGUACUUACGUAUAUAUGAUUGCAGUUCGUUCUUGAUUCUUGCCCAAAGUCUAGACAUGCAGUCGACAGGACGAACAUUAACUGUCUAUGUCAAACUAGUCCAUUACUGCACACCCAACUUUUGAUUCUGAAAGAAAAGGAAAUCGUAUUGAUCAAACAUCUUAAAUUCCACUAGAUAUAUCAUGUGUGCACAUAAUGUGCGUAUUACCAGUUUUCUCAAAACAAAAUAGUGAGCGCUUUUUCCACUUCUGCAUAGCACCACACCUAGAGCUAAACACAGCACUUGUAGUUUAACCAGGUCAAUCCAUCUGAUUAAGUAUAUAUAAUCAUGUAGCUACUAAGACUCAACUUUUUUUAUUGCAUAGUCUGUGCGCACGCACAAAGAAAACUACGGAAUAUAUAAUUUCCUGGGAAUUUGUAUAAAGUAGAGUAACUAUGAGGGCCGGGAGCUGUACACGCUGACAACGCAAAUACGAAAUAGUGGAGACUAACUGGGGACAAAAAUCUUAUCACCUGAGUUCACAAUCCGUUGGGAACUGGAGAAGGGUGCACGAUCUCUGUGCAGGUCCAGUUCUCAUCCUGGCGUUUGGGAACUUGAAG
rnacentral:lncRNA from 1 species